rnacentral:rRNA from 1 species
AUGAACGCUGGCGGCGUGCCUAAUCCAUGCAAGUCGAGCGAACAGACGAGGAGCUUGCUCCUCUGACGUUAGCGGCGGACGGGUGAGUAACACGUGGAUAACCUACCUAUAAGACUGGGAUAACUUCGGGAAACCGGAGCUAAUACCGGAUAAUAUAUUGAACCGCAUGGUUCAAUAGUGAAAGACGGUUUUGCUGUCACUUAUAGAUGGAUCCGCGCCGCAUUAGCUAGUUGGUAAGGUAACGGCUUACCAAGGCAACGAUGCGUAGCCGACCUGAGAGGGUGAUCGGCCACACUGGAACUGAGACACGGUCCAGACUCCUACGGGAGGCAGCAGUAGGGAAUCUUCCGCAAUGGGCGAAAGCCUGACGGAGCAACGCCGCGUGAGUGAUGAAGGUCUUCGGAUCGUAAAACUCUGUUAUUAGGGAAGAACAAAUGUGUAAGUACCUAUGCACGUCUUGACGGUACCUAAUCAGAAAGCCACGGCUAACUACGUG